GACGAACGCUGGCGGCGUGCUUAACACAUGCAAGUCGAGCGGUAAGGCCUCUUCGGGGGUACACGAGCGGCGAACGGGUGAGUAACACGUGGGUGACCUGCCCUCAGCUCUGGGAUAAGCCUGGGAAACUGGGUCUAAUACCGGAUAUGACCUUUCCUCGCAUGGGGUUUGGUGGAAAGUUUUUUCGGCUGGGGAUGGGCCCGCGGCCUAUCAGCUUGUUGGUGGGGUGAUGGCCUACCAAGGCGACGACGGGUAGCCGGCCUGAGAGGGCGACCGGCCACACUGGGACUGAGACACGGCCCAGACUCCUACGGGAGGCAGCAGUGGGGAAUAUUGCGCAAUGGGCGGAAGCCUGACGCAGCGACGCCGCGUGGGGGAUGACGGCCUUCGGGUUGUAAACCUCUUUCGACCCCGACGAAUUUGGAUGGUAGGGGUAGAAGAAGCACCGGCCGACUACGUG
rnacentral:rRNA from 1 species